UAAACAUGAUGUUCAGAGUCCAAACACGCUAGUUGGUUCGUGACAGUGAAAGUCAAAGCUUCUCGGCUUCAGACUGUCGGAUUAAAAUUUGAGUUUAAAUUGAAACAAAAAAAUCCCAAACUGUCAUUUCGCAACAGUCACCAUUAAUUAUUCAUUCAAAAAAGCAAGAUAAAAAACAACUCGGUGUAUUCUAUAAACAUCUCUCUCAGUCUUCAAUAAAAAUAAAAAAAAUUUAGUGUUUGUUAAUUUUAAAAAAGGAAAUAUUUACAUUUAAAAAUGUUACACGACAGCGAUUGUCAAGGAUUAUCAAAUGGAACGCAGCAGAAUAGUGUGGUUCAACCAUUACUCACAGAUUUAUACCAAAUAACAAUGGCCUAUGCCUAUUGGAAAUGUGGAAAAAUGAAUGAUUACACGACAUUUGAUUUAUUUUUUCGUAAGAAUCCUUUCCGAGGAGAAUUUACAAUUUUUGCUGGCCUGGGAGAGUGUUUAAAGUUCAUGCAAAAGUUUAAAUACUCCGAAAGUGAUAUUGAAUAUUUGAAAACAACGAUGUCUUCAUCGAUAGAACCAGAAUUCUUUGAAUAUUUAAAAGGCCUAACACCCAAAGGCGUAACUCUUUAUGCGAUAGAGGAAGGCUCCGCUGUAUUUCCAAGAGUUCCAUUGAUUCGAGUAGAAGGUCCACUGAUAAUGGUCCAAUUGCUGGAGACAACACUCCUCACGCUGGUAAAUUACGCAAGUCUGAUGGCAACAAAUGCUGCACGAUAUCGUAUGGCAGCUGGCAAUAAUGUCUCGCUUCUCGAAUUUGGAUUGAGAAGAGCUCAAGGUCCUGACGGCGGGCUUAGCGCCUCCAAGUACAGUUACAUAGGUGGAUUUGACGGCACAAGUAAUGUAUUAGCUGGAAAACUUUAUGAUAUUCCCGUACGUGGUACCCAUGCUCACGCUUACAUAAAUUCGUUUGCCGGAAUAGACGAAUUAAAGUUACGAUGUCUUCUGCACAAAGAAACCGGUGAAGAGUUUGAUUUAUUAAAACUAUCAUGCAAGUAUCGACAGCAAAUAGCGUCCGACUUAGGGGCUCUUGUUAUGGAGGCUUCAGAUAGCGAACUAGCAGCACUAGUUAGUUUUGCAAUAGCAUUUCCGGACGGCUUUAUGGCACUUGUGGAUACUUAUGAUGUAAAAAGCAUUAAAUCAUCGUUCGAGAGGCAGUCACGUGUAAACAACGAAAAUAAUAAAUACAAAGAUGACGAUAAUAAUAUUAAUAGCCGUAAUGAUUCUACAAUAAAUAACGAAUCACACAAGAAUGGUUAUAGUACUCCUCCUAAUCAACAAGAGACAUCACAAUGUCUUACAAAAACACCAACUUACAACCAUGACUUAUUUAAACCAGGCGAAUUGGGAGAACUAUGUGUGAGAAGUGGAUUAUUAAAUUUUUGUGCAGUGGCAUUAGCACUGUCAGACCUUGGCUACCGCGCAGUAGGUAUUAGAAUCGACAGCGGAGAUCUCGCGUACCUAAGUCAAGCGGCUCGUGACACAUUUGUCAAGUUGUCUGAGCGCUUCAACAUACCCUGGUUCGCCAAGAUGACAAUCGUCGCGUCGAACGACAUCAACGAGGAGACAAUAAUGAGCUUGAAUGAGCAGAACCACCAGAUCGACUGCUUCGGAGUGGGAACACACUUGGUGACUUGCCAGCGGCAACCUGCUUUAGGUUGUGUGUACAAAAUGGUAGAGAUAAACAACCACCCGAGAAUAAAACUAAGCCAGGAGGUCGACAAAAUAACGAUACCUGGGAGAAAAAACGCUUACAGAUUGUACGGAGCUGACUCACAUGCUCUGAUAGAUUUACUUCAGCGCUGCGAUGAACCUGCUCCUCAAGUCGGGACUCGGGUACUCUGCAGACAUCCUUUCCAAGAGUCUAAACGAGCUUAUGUUAUUCCGACGCGCGUUGAAACUCUGCACAAGGUCUACUGGAAAGACGGAAAAAUUGUUAACCCCUUGCCGGUGCUUCAAGAUAUUAGGAAUAGAGUCAGCGAAUCUUUGAAGACACUUAGAACUGAUCAUAAAAGGAGUCUCAAUCCCACACCCUACAAAGUGGCUGUAAGCGAUGAUUUGUAUACGUUUAUUCACGAUCUCUGGGUUCAAAAUGCGCCGAUAGGUGAAUUAUCUUGAAACAACUGUUGCUGAGAAAAAAAAAUUAUUAUAAAUAAUUUUCUUUUUAAAAUAAUAAUAAUAUUAAUAAAUAAAAAAUCAAUAGUUUCCACAAAGGUAUAUUUAUAUUUAAGGUUCACAAUGUUAAAUAAUUUAAAUUGAAAGUACAAAUUUGUUAGAGUGCAUAAUGUAGAGUUUUAUGAACGAGUGCAUUAAAUCAAUGGUUCAAAAUAUUAAAAUAAUAUUUAAUAAUGAGUAAGAGAUAUUAGCUACUGAAUAAAU
rnacentral:misc_RNA from 1 species